AGCGGGGAGAAUUAAAAGCCUCUUUCAAAUUGCGAGGAGGAAAACAGUCGAACUUCAAACUCUCGCUGGAGGGCCGGCUUGAUCCGGCCAAUGCUCACCUUUUGCUCGAGCGAAUCCUAUCGAAGCUGUUAUUAAAUCUGGCGAGAUGGCACCAAAGAGGAACACCGGCAUCAUCUCGUGUGAUGGCUCUCUAGUAGAGUCUCCCACCCCCACCCCAGGCUGGUCUCAAACUUGUUUGGAGCUUUGGAUUGUUGUUGCAUUCUGGGAAGAAAGUGCCUGGAGUCUGCAUAACACAGGGAAGGAAAACAACCCGACCCAGUGGGCUCAAAAAACCCGCAAUUGCUUAGGAUAUUUUUUGUUUAUUUGCUUUUCUCAAGGUGGAAAAACAAGUUCCAGUUCUGGCUCUGUCAGUCCCUUAAUGUCCCAGGCCGGGCUUCUCGAUUAAACUGAUCCAAUGACUUGAGUUUCCUUCCAGUGCUAAAAGAAAUGCUAUAGAUUCCCUUUUGCUACAUAUUACUUGCUGAAUUCAUAUGAGUGUUAAAUUGGAAAAUUAUGCACACAAAGUUCCAUUUGGUGUCAUCUUUUUGAAGCCGCCUCAGGGCCAAGAAAGACAGUUGGAACAGUGGUUGUCCAGGCACAUGGAUCCUAUGCAUGUGGCGAUUUUUCUUCCCAGAGGACAAUCUUCUGGAAACAUGUUUGG